GCCCGAAUGGCGUAAAGGCAGCCGCUGCUGACUUAAAAUCAGUUGUCCUUGUGACGUGUGGGUUCGAGUCCCACUUCGGGUA
rnacentral:tRNA from 1 species